AGCAUGCUCCGUUGAGCUCUACGCUUACCUGCAUCAGAGAGAGGAACAGAGCGGUAGAAAGACGUUUUGGAGGCUGGCACCAACAGAGGGAAGAAUUAAAUAACGCUGUUGCAAAGGAUGGAAAAGGCUCAGAGGUGAUGCGAUGGCUCCAGGGGUGCUGACCUAUCCUUGCCCCACGUGGGGCUGCUGAGCAUCGUGCAGCUCUUGGUGCUGCUGCUGUGUGCACUCAGGUGCCAGCUCUGCCAAACCUUCUGCUGUCCUGUCCUCAUACCAUGUGUCCUCAUCAAAAAAAAACAGUGCAGCAAAACACAACAAGCAGUGUUAAAAAUGUGUUGCAGAUGUGGUAGUAACUCCCGGUUGCAAUAGGCAGAUGACUGUUUUUUCCUUGUUUCUGUCCUAAUAUUGGGUCCAGCUGAGACCAGGGUUUUACAUGUAACUACAGUGUCCCUGCCCUGCAGGUCAGGCACUGGUGAAACACAUGUCGGAAGAGAUGAAGAAACUUGUUCGGCAGCACGUGGUGCAGUCAGCGCCCUUCCCGUCUCCCAGAACCCCAACUCAUGGAGGCAGAACCAUCCUGUAGUUCUCUACCACAGAGAUCAUUUUGCUCUCAGACCUUCUGCUGACCCUGAACGACUUUUG
rnacentral:lncRNA from 1 species